UAGUAAUCCUGCUCAGUACGAGAGGAACCGCAGGUUCGGACACUUGGUUCAUGUGCUUGGUCGAGAGACCAGUGGUGCGAAGCUACCAUCCGUGGGAUUACGACUGAACGCCUCUAGCAGUGCAAUGA
rnacentral:rRNA from 1 species